UCGAACGGUAACAUAGAAGCUUGCUUCUGAUGACGAGUGGCGCACGGGUGCGUAACGCGUAUGCAACCUACCUUUUACAGAGGGAUAGCCCAGAGAAAUUUGGAUUAACACCUCAUAGUAUUGUUAAUUGGCAUCGAUUAACAAUUAAAACUACGGUGGUAAAAGAUGGGCAUGCGUUCUAUUAGCUAGUUGGUAUGGUAACGGCAUACCAAGGCGACGAUAGAUAGGGGCCCUGAGAGGGGGAUCCCCCACACUGGUACUGAGACACGGACCAGACUCCUACGGGAGGCAGCAGUGAGGAAUAUUGGUCAAUGGAGGGAACUCUGAACCAGCCAUGCCGCGUGCAGGAUGACUGCCCUAUGGGUUGUAAACUGCUUUUAUACAGGAAGAAACACUAGUACGUGUACUAGCUUGACGGUACUGUAAGAAUAAGGAUCGGCUAACUCCGUGCCAGCAGCCGCGGUAAUACGGAGGAUCCAAGCGUUAUCCGGAAUCAUUGGGUUUAAAGGGUCCGUAGGUGGAUAAUUAAGUCAGAGGUGAAAUCCUGCAGCUCAACUGUAGAAUUGCCUUUGAUACUGGUUGUCUUGAGUUAUUGUGAAGUGGUUAGAAUAUGUAGUGUAGCGGUGAAAUGCAUAGAUAUUACAUAGAAUACCAAUUGCGAAGGCAGAUCACUAACAAUAUACUGACACUGAUGGACGAAAGCGUGGGUAGCGAACGGGAUUAGAU
rnacentral:rRNA from 1 species